AUACUAUUUCCUCUGUUCCGAAUUACUUGUCUUAGAUUUGUCUAGAUACGGACGUAUCUAGACUCAUUUUAGUGCUAGAUACCUCCGUAUCUAGACAAAUUUAAGACAAGUAAUUCAGAACGGAGGGAGUAGUAC
rfam:Triticum aestivum genome assembly, contig: Triticum_aestivum_CS42_TGACv1_scaffold_196204_3AL